rnacentral:ncRNA from 1 species
UUUCGGGUGCCCUUCACAGGGUGAAACGGGAAACCGGUGCGUCAUAGACCUAUGACCAGUCCGGUGCUGCCCCCGCAACGGUAAGCGAGCGAAGCGUCAUGGCCACUGUGCGUUUGCAUGGGAAGGCGACGCUUUCAGGAGGCCUCUUUCAAGAGCCGCCCCUCGCAAGCCCGGAGACCGGCCCGAAAAAAU